rnacentral:rRNA from 1 species
CACCUACGGGGCGCAGCAGUGGGGAAUAUUGCACAAUGGGGGAAACCCUGAUGCAGCAACGCCGCGUGAGUGAAGAAGUAUUUCGGUAUGUAAAGCUCUAUCAGCAAGGAAGAAGAAAGACGGUACCUGACCAAGAAGCCCCGGCUAACUACGUGCCAGCAGCCGCGGUAAUACGUAGGGGGCAAGCGUUAUCCGGAAUUACUGGGUGUAAAGGGAGCGUAGACUGGUAAGUAAGUCUGGAGUGAAAGGCCGGGGCUCAACCCCGGGACUGAUCUGGAAACUAUUUAACUUGAGUUCCGGAGAAG